UACGGGGGGGGCAAGCGUUGUUCGGAAUUACUGGGCGUAAAGGGCUCGUAGGCGGCCAACUAAGUCGGAUGUGAAAUCCCCAGGCUUAACCUGGGAACUGCAUCCGAUACUGGUUGGCUUGAAUCCGGGAGAGGGAUGCGGAAUUCCAGGUGUAGCGGUGAAAUGCGUAGAUAUCUGGAGGAACACCGGUGGCGAAGGCGGCAUCCUGGACCGAUAUUGACGCUGAGGAGCGAAAGCCAGGGGAGCAAACGGG
rnacentral:rRNA from 1 species